GUGAGGAAUAUUGGUCAAUGGGCGAAAGCCUGAACCAGCCAUGUCGCGUGAAGGAUGAAGGUCCUAUGGAUUGUAAACUUCUUUUGCAGGAGGGUAAAGUGAGCUACGUGUAGUUCAUUGCAAGUACCCUGCGAAUAAGCAUCGGCUAACUCCGUGCCAGCAGCCGCGGUAAUACGGAGGAUGCGAGCGUUCUCCGGAUUUAUUGGGUUUAAAGGGUGCGUAGGCGGUCUAAUUAGUCAGCGGUGACAUUUUGCGGAUCAACCGUAAAACUGCCGUUGAAACUGUUAGUCUUGAGUGCGGUAGAGGUAGGCGGAAUGUGUGGUGUAGCGGUGAAAUGCUUAGAUAUCACACAGAACACCGAUUGCGUAGGCAGCUUACUGGAGCGCAACUGACGCUGAGGCACGAAAGCGUGGGGAUCGAACAGGAUUAGAAACCCCUGUAGUCC
rnacentral:rRNA from 1 species